rnacentral:rRNA from 1 species
GAAAGCCUGUCUCAGUUCGGAUUGGAGUCUGCAACCCGACUCCAUGAAGCUGGAUUCGCUAGUAAUCGCGCAUCAGCCACGGCGCGGUGAAUACGUUCCCGGGCCUUGUACACACCGCCCGUCAAGCCAUGGAAGCCGGGGGUGCCUGAAGUGCGCUGCCGCAAGGAGCGCCCUAGGGUAAAACCGGUGACUGGGGCUAAGUCGUAACAAGGUAUC